GCACAAGCGGUGGAGCAUGUGGUUUAAUUCGACGAUACGCGAAGAACCUUACCUGGCCUUGACAUACUAAAAAGCUUUAAGAGAUUAGAGUGUGCUAGCUUGCUAGAAUUUAGAUACAGGUGCUGCACGGCUGUCGUCAGCUCGUGUCGUGAGAUGUUGGGUUAAGUCCCGCAACGAGCGCAACCCUCGUGUUUAGUUGCUAACAGUUCGGCUGAGAACUCUAAACAGACUGCCUACGCAAGUAGGAGGAAGGUGAGGACGACGUCAAGUCAUCAUGGCCCUUACGGCCAGGGCUACACACGUGCUACAAUGGGGUAUACAAAGAGCAGCGAUACGGUGACGUGGAGCAAAUCUAGAAAAUGCCUCUCAGUUCGGAUUGUAGUCUGCAACUCGACUACAUGAAGUUGGAAUCGCUAGUAAUCGUAGAUCAGCAAUGCUACGGUGAAUACGUUCCCGGGUCUU
rnacentral:rRNA from 1 species